UUAAAGAUGGACCUAGCAGAUCGCACUGUCUGGAAUCCAGAUGGAAGUGAGCAUACCCUACUUUGCUCUUUCUGAUGCUGUAAUUGAAUAUUUCUAGAAGACUGCAGCCUGUGCCCAAGAUCUCCAGCUACAUCCACCUUGUGGCAUCCUGAAAUAACCUGGAGGUCAGGAACUCAGUGCACAACAUAAUUCAGUAAUGAGACUGAAGAACUUCUAGCAAAGGUGUUCAAGCUCAUCACUGAUUUUUCUGGUAACCAGCUACUCAAUGGAAAAAUGAAGAGAAGCAGCAUCCCUGGCUGAGUACAGAGAAUUUGGCAUUUGGAGUUUGGCACCUGUAAUCAGUCAAAGCCUGGCAGGGAUAGAACUGCCUGAAUGAGUCCUAGGCAUAGAACAGUGGGUCAGAAUGAGGAACUGCAGAAGAUGGGGUUGUGGCACUGUCUCUUUUAGCUUCAGCCUGCGCUAAACCUCUCUUGUGAUGACAGUGGGAGCAUGUGUGAGAGCAAUUAUAGGAGUGAAUAUCUGCAUCCAGGCUCUGCCUCAAACCAGGCAGCAGAAGUAUAGAACACACAUCUAAAACCUGCUUAUACAAAGGUCAGAACAAAUAACUUGCUUGUGUGAAUUUUGAGGCUAAAAAGCAGCCCAGUUGCUAAAAAAUUAGAGGGGCACAGCAGCCUCCGGUGUGGUUCCCUGCCACAUUUAUUUUUAUUGCAAUGUGUAAAGCAGAUUACUUGGUAUGAGGAGUUCAAAGUUGUUUUGUGAGCUCUGUGCAUGUUUUGCAUGUCAACUACAUUAUAGAGACAUUAAGGAGUCCAUAAAAUAUUCAUAGACCAAGAUACUCUAUAUAAAAGUUUAUGUUAUGAUGUGCUCUCCCUAAUUCAGCAGAUUUUAAAACUAUUUGAUGUGGUAUGAAAAUCAAAUUCAUGCACACAAAGGAAGCAACAAACCAAUGUGUGUUUCCAAAAUGAAAUUAGCAUAAAAUUACAGUCUUGUCACAAAAAUCUACUGAAGCUUUCGUCUCCUGGACCCAGCUGCUUGAGUCACUUCACUGAUGAAGAAAAGAGAUAAUGCCCAAGAGGGAUAUUGUCUCUUCAUCUUCUGAUCUUGGGAGAGAAAGUAACAAGCAAAACUCCUCCAACAUGUCAGCAAGACUGCUGGGCCAGGGUAGUGGCAAAACUGAGUUUGAGAUGCUCUAUGAAAUCUGAUGAAAUUUAGCAGCUUUACAGGUCAAGGAUUUUACCCUUCAACAGCACUGGGAUUGUUCUAAGUUUUCAUGUUGGGAAGCUCCCAAUAGCUGGGAGCUGGGAGCUGAGAGCUGGGAACUGGGGGCUGGGAGCAACACAGAGAUAUCUCCAAAUGUAUGCACAUUUUCAUCAGGUUCCUCCUGAUUUAGGAAUUCAUCUGUGCGCUUCUCCUGCUUUGAGGACAGCACAAGUGCAAACAGCGAAAUCAGAAAAUUAACCUUCAGGAGGCAGGAGCUCUCUGGUGAACAGAGUAGAGGUUAAUAACCUUGCUCUGUGAUGCACUUCUUUUGAGAGCUCUGCUCUAGCAGCUUGCUCCUGCAGUGCACAGCGAAGGCAGAAAUUAGGAGGGGUGCCAGGCAGUAAUGGACUGAGCCAUUUGCGUGUCUGUUUUUCCAUUCAGCAGACCCUGAGAGCAGGGCUCAUCAGCAGAGCAGACCAGGAAAUGUUGCAUCAUUGAGAUUAUUGAACUCAUUCUCUACCUAAAAUUACCAGAUUGUCUGAUACAUGCUGCUGAGUAAAAAUUCAAGUAAUAACUGCCUAUGGAUGUAAGUAUACAGAAAGAGAUACGAUUUUUGUUAGAUUUGAUCAAUGGUUUUGGACCAAAUAAAUUUGGUCCAAAUGAAUUUAUUUGAAAUAUCUGGUAUCUGAAAUAGUCCACAAUUAAAGGAGAUACUUGGUUCCCAAAUAUAUUCUGAAAAUAUUCAACUGUCCUUUCCUCCUGAGAAUUUAAUUACCUGUUUGCAUCUGAUGCUCCACAGGUACUCAGGGUCUCCACCUGUAAAGAAGGCAGCACCCUCUUCAUUCAAUUUAGUUUCUUCAACUGUUAAAACAUUUUCAAAAUCUUCAUGCACAGUAUCUUAUUUGUAAACAGCUGUGCUCCUGAAAGCCCUGUGGUUGUGUCAGAGGUGGAUACAUGCAACCGCUCUAUGGUGACACACACACAUAAGACAGUGACCCCCAGUCCACAAUUUAUUCAGUACUGCCCUCAUCCUUGGGACUCUGACCCCAAAGCAAGACUGGAGAAGGGGACAAAUUAAUCUAUACCAUUGGUCCUCUAGGAAGUAUCAAAGUGUCCAAAACAUUUGUCCCUGUAUAUUACAAGAAUUACACUGCAAUUAUUGAGUUCCCAUUUCUGCCAGCUACUCUUACACACAUAAUUGUGUGCUUUCUCUGAUCAGGCAUUUUCUGCCUUUAAAUUUACUAUGUUGGUUAUGGUUGAAGCAUAGGUUUCACUUUAGCCUAAUUCUUUGACUUCACUCCUUUGUUUAUCCCCCUUUCUCAGUGUUGUACUGGCCGGGAUGUGUACACAGUAACCCAAAAAAUAAGUGCCUCAAUCAAAAGAGGGAUAUUUCUACCACAUUUAGGUUUGAUAAAUGCUCCAUUUUAUCAAUUCUUAAUUACAGGCCAAAUAAAACCUCAGAAUCCAUGUCCAAAGUGUUGCAGAUAACAUGCAUCCCCUGACACCAUCUCUUUUUGGGUUGACUCUGCCUACAGAAAUAGAAUGUCAUUUUAUAAAAUAACAUCUGAAUUUCUAGAAAUACCAGUAGCAUUCGGGUGGCAGGGAGAGGCCAUGAUGCAAGUCUGCACUGUCAGGGUGUGGGUCUCAUACCUCCUGACUGUAAAGGACUGAGGAUCUGAAUGUUGGUGCUUGGACUUCAUGAAACCAAAGGUUGAUGAGCAUUCACUCAUAUGGAGAGCAAUAUAUACUUUUGCAGGUUUUUAUCACAUCUGAACUCAAAAACUCUGCAGUUAUGCUUGUCCAAAAGGUUUAAAAAUAUCUGGUGAAGAAAAUCAUAUGCCUGACUCUCAGAGGUUGCAGCACUUGGCAGAGUAGCAACUCUUGUGUUGUCAAAACUUUCUGCUUGAAGAAGCCAGACAUCCACAGAGAGCGCACCCAGCAGCAAAGGCUGCCCUGUGGGGGAAGAAGGGAGGGGAGUUACUGGAGAACAAACCCCCUGUUCCUGGCACAGGCAGGUGCUGGAGAUGCAGCAGGAGGAGUGUAUCCCAGUGCCAAACUAAAACUUGAACUGAGGUUUAUUCCAUGUUAUUCAGCAACUGCAUUUGAGUGCUGCCCAUAUGUGUGUUGCUUGGAAAGAGUGGGGUCACACUCAGGGGCCACGGAAAGAAGAGAGCUCAUCUGCCUCUGCAAUCCCUUUUUCCUCUGCUGUUCUGCUGCUGGGGGAAGGAUGGGGAGGCUGGACAAUGCCAAAGGGAUCUGUAGUUUGUUGGUCUUCUACUAAAUGGCAUACAAAAUGGAGCACAUCCUGACAUGGAUUUUCUUUUUUCUGUCCCGCGGUUUAUUUUCCAUCACCGACUGUUAAAGCUAUGAAAUCAAUAGCUGAUGACAAGUGGGUUUAAUAUGUAGAGUAAGAGGAAUGUAAGUAGUAGUUAAAAAUUAACAGAUACAGGCUGAGAACAGGAUUUUUUCAUUUCAGAAACCACCUGGGGCAAUUUGUUUUUCACUAAUAUAUACAAAGAUCUAGAAUGUACCAUGUUAUUAU